rnacentral:lncRNA from 1 species
AACUACUGACGCUUCACAUGAAAUAUGGAUUUGUUAGAAGCACCUUUUAUCAGAACACACACACACACACACACACACACACACACACACACACACACACACACACACACACACACACACACACACACACACACACACACACACACACACAGAGAGAGGAGAUAAAGUGCAGCAGAUCAGACAGACAGACAGACAGAUAAAGUGCAGCAGAUCAGAAUAAUACAACCAGUAAGAACAAGAAGUAACAACAGAGAACAGAUAUAAGGAUAUUAAUAUGAACUGUAAAAAGUAUCCUAAUCAACAUGUUUUUUUUUUAAAGAGCUAACAUAAUGAAACAUGUAGAAAGUGGUAUACCUUGUGGUUUCACAAAGCAUGCUGGGAGUAACGCCAGUGUCCAAUGUCUUAUAGGACACCGUACAAAAAUAUAAUACCAUUAACAACAUUUGCAUGAAAAGGAACCAACGAUAGAACUCAAGAGGUUUUUGCUUGUUGCUACUUUUUAAAAGCACUGGAAUGAGUCAGUAUCUUCUACCGUGGUCGUUGUAUGAGUCAGUAUCUGCUACCGUGGUGGUUGUAUGAGUCAGUAUCUGCUACCGUGGUGGUUGUAUGAGUCAGUAUCUGCUACCGUGGUGGUUGUGGUCGUUGUAUGAGUCAGUAUCUUCUACCGUGGUCGUUGUGAGUCAGUAUCUUCUACCGUGGUGGUUGUGGUGGUUGUAUGAGUCAGUAUCUGCUACCGUGGUUGUUGUGGUGGUUGUAUGAGUCAGUAUCUUUUACCGUGGUUGUUGUGGUGGUUGUAUGAGUCAGUAUCUUCUACCGUGGUGGUUGUGGUGGUUGUAUGAGUCAGUAUCUUCUACCGUGGUGGUUGUAUGAGUCAGUAUCUGCUACCGUGGUGGUUGUGGUGGUUGUAUGAGUCAGUAUCUUCUACCGUGGUGGUUUGGUUGUAUGAGUCAGUAUCUUUUACCGUGGUGGUUGUGGUGGUUGUAUGAGUCAGUAUCUUUUACCGUGGUGGUUGUGGUGGUUGUAUGAGUCAGUAUCUUUUACCGUGGUGGUUGUAUGAGUCGGUAUCUGCUACCAUGGUGGUUGUGGUCAUUGUAUGAGUCGGUAUCUGCUACCAUGGUGGUUGUGGUAGUUUCUUCAGAAAGGUCUGUCAACUCAAAACAGUGCUGCAAACUGAGGGACGUUUUCAGUGAAUGGAAUGAAAGAAAGUCUGAACUUCAAAACACACAACAACAACAAUAACAUUCAAGGCUUUAAAAAGACACUUAAAGCACAUAGGCUGCUCAGUGGUUUUAAGUUGAGUAGAGGCUGCUCAGUGGUUUUAAGUUGAGUAGAGGCUGCUCAGUGGUUUUAAGUUGAGUAGAGGCUGCUCAGUGGUUUUAAGUUGAGUAGAGACUGCUCAGUGGUUUUAAGUUGAGUAGAGGCUGCUCAGUGGUUUUAAGUUGAGUAGAGGCUGCUCAGUGGUUUUAAGUUGAGUAGAGGCUGCUCAGUGGUUUUAAGUUGAGUAGAGGCUGCUCAGUGGUUUUAAGUUGAGUAGAGGCUGCUCAGUG